GACGAACGCUGGCGGCGUGCCUAAUACAUGCAAGUAGGACGCAGUUGCGAACGGGUCAGUAACGCGUAGGUAACUGCCUAUUAGAGGGGGAUAACUAUUGGAAACGAUAGCUAAUACCGCAUACUAGUAGAUGGACCUACGUUGUAUUAGCUAGUAGGUAGGGUAAUGGGCUAACUAGGCGAAGAUACAUAGCCGACCUGAGAGGGGGAGCGGCCACACUUGGACUGAGACACGGGCCAGACUCCCUCGGGAGGCAGCAGUAGGGAAUCUUCGGGAAUGGGGGGAACCCUGACCGAGCAACGCCGGGGGAGUGAAGAAGGUUUUCGGAUCGUAAAGCUCUGUUGGUAAGGAAGCGGUACUUAACCAGAAAGGGACGGCUAACUACGUGCCAGCAGCCGCGGUAAUAC
rnacentral:rRNA from 1 species